UACGGGGGGAGCAAGCGUUGUUCGGAUUUACUGGGCGUAAAGGGCGCGUAGGCGGUCAGCACAAGUCAGUUGUGAAAUCUCCGGGCUUAACUCGGAAAGGUCAACUGAUACUGUGCGACUAGAGUGCGGAAGGGGCAACUGGAAUUCUCGGUGUAGCGGUGAAAUGCGUAGAUAUCGGUAGGAACACCAGUGGCGAAGGCGGUCUCCUGGGGCAUUCUUGACGCUGAGGCGCGAAAGCUGGGGGAGCGAACGGG
rnacentral:rRNA from 1 species